GCAGUACAUGUAGAGGACGGUGUCGGCGGCGGCUCUGUAGAGCAUGAGGAUCAUGAGGAGAGUGGAGGUGAGGACGAUCUGGGUGACAAAAGCCCAGUCUUUCCAGGCCCAGCCGUCGGAGCCAAGGAGGAAGGAGGUCCAGAGGAGGAGGGCCUGAAGGGAAGCGAAGAAGAGGAAGGAGGAGGCGGCGACGGGGGUCAUUCCUUUGACGAGAGAGGCGCUUCGGCGGAGGGGUUGGUAGCCCCAGGUGGACUCCGCGACGACGAUGACGGGGGCGAGAGACCAGGAGACGCGGAGGUAGAGCAGGGAGAGGAGUAGGGCGAGGAGGAG
rnacentral:lncRNA from 1 species